rnacentral:lncRNA from 1 species
GGUGUGGUAAUAUAUAUUCAAGGUUUCAAAAUAUGACAGAAAAGUAAGUUUUCAAUUAUAGCUAUGAUGCAAGAGAACUAGAACACAAUUAGAUAAACAAGCCCAAAAGGAGGAAGAACCUGUUACCUGUGGUGGAUGCAGUCCACCGGAAACGUUCAUUGUAAAUCUCGAACACGAAAUUGGAGUCUAUCGUACUGGGCUGGGGCAUGAUCAGAAGUGCGGUCGCAGCAAGUAAGCUUGUCGAAAGGCGCGAAUUGGGCUAGUUACAGCAACUUGUGGGCUUGAGUGGCCUGGCAAACCUGUACAUGAAGAGGAGGGCCUUGAAUUGGGCUUGAAGCAAUGGGCGGGCCUGAUGAGUCUGCUGGGUCUUGAGGAUGAUAGUGUUAUUUUGAUGAUUAACAAGCAAUUAUCUAGAGCAUACUAUAAGUUAAAUUGAUACUUCAUUUAUAAGUUCAUUACUCUCAGUAUAUUUGUUUAAUUGAAAAUGGAUAAAUGGCCUUGUUCAUUUGGAUGAAUCUAACCUUGAGAAUGCAGCAAAGUGUGGUUUGAGUCGACCCAUAGGUUGAUUGGGUCGACCCCGGC